rnacentral:rRNA from 1 species
GACGAACGCUGGCGGCGUGGAUUAGGCAUGCAAGUCGAACGGUAUCAUCCUUUCGGGGAUGAGAGAGUGGCGAACUGGUGAGUAACACGUAGGUUAUCUACCCUCAAGACGGGGACAACCCAGGGAAACUUGGGCUAAUACCGGAUGUGAGCAACUUUUAGUUGUUUGAAAGGUGGCGUAAGCUGUCGCUUGGGGAUGAGCCUGCGUCCUAUUAGUUAGUUGGUGAGGUAACGGCUCACCUAGGCAAUGAUAGGUAGGCGGCCUUAACGGGUGGUCGCCCACACUGGGAUUGAGAUACGGCCCAGACUCCUACGGGAGGCAGCAGUCGAGAAUAGUCUACAAUGGUCGGAAGACUGAUAGUGCGACGCCGCGUGAACGAUGAAUCCCUUCGGGGUGUAAAGUUCUUUUAUAUGUGAGCAGUGCUUCUUAUAUUAACAGUAUGGGGAAGAGAUAUUAGCAUAUGAAUAAGCAACGGCUAACUCCGUGCCAGCAGCCGA